rnacentral:rRNA from 14 species
GAGUCCAGUUAUACGCCCUGAUCAUGCCCCAUCUCAUCUGAUCUUGGAAGUUAAGCAGGGCUGCAUCUGAAUUGAAAAUUGAAGGUGGAUAGGAAUGGGGGGCGGGGGGUGGAAGAAACGAAAAGCUAUUGGGUUUC